UCGCUUUGGCUGCACAUAUACUGAAGUUGGACCGAUAUGAGAAAAUUGGCAUGGUCCCGUGCAAGGAUGACACACAUAUUCGUGAAAUGUUCCAGAUUUUU
rnacentral:snRNA from 1 species